GAAUAUCGACGUCAUAAACACGAAAGUUGAUGGUGUUUAUGUCGUCGAAUAUCGACGUCAUAAACACCUAAGUUGAUUGUGUUUAUGACGUCGAAUAUCGGCGUCAUAAACACCAAAGUUGAUCGUGUUUAUGUCGUCGCAUAUAGACGUCAUAAACACCAAAGUUGAUCGUCUCUAUGUUGUCGAAUAUCGACGUGAUAAACACGAAAGUUGAUCGUGUUUAUGUCGUCGAAUAUCGACGUCAUAAACACCAAAGUUGAUCGUGUUUAUGACGCCGAAUAUC
rnacentral:miRNA from 1 species